rnacentral:rRNA from 1 species
UACAGAGGGUGCUAGCGUUAAUCGGAAUUACUGGGCGUAAAGCGUGUGUAGGUGGUUAGAUAAGUUAGAUGUGAAAACCCUGGGCUUAACCUGGGAACUGCGUUUAAGACUGUUUAGCUAGAGUACUGUAGAGGGCAGUGGAAUUUCCAGUGUAGCGGUGAAAUGCGUAGAUAUUGGAAGGAACACCAGUGGCGAAGGCGACUGUCUGGAUAGAUACUGACACUGAGACACGAAAGCGUGGGGAGCAAACAGG